AGUGAACGCUGGCGGUAGGCCUAACACAUGCCAGUCGAACGGCAGCACAGUAAGAGCUUGCUCUUACGGGUGGCGAGUGGCGGACGGGUGAGGAAUACAUCGGAAUCUACUUUUUCGUGGGGGAUAACGUAGGGAAACUUACGCUAAUACCGCAUACGACCUACGGGUGAAAGCAGGGGAUCUUCGGACCUUGCGCGAUUGAAUGAGCCGAUGUCGGAUUAGCUAGUUGGCGGGGUAAAGGCCCACCAAGGCGACGAUCCGUAGCUGGUCUGAGAGGAUGAUCAGCCACACUGGAACUGAGACACGGUCCAGACUCCUUCGGGAGGCAGCAGUGGGGAAUAUUGGACAAUGGGCGCAAGCCUGAUCCAGCCAUACCGCGUGGGUGAAGAAGGCCUUCGGGUUGUAAAGCCCUUUUGUUGGGAAAGAAAAGCAGCAGGUUAAUACCCCGCUGUUCUGACGGUACCCAAAGAAUAAGCACCGGCUAACUUCGU
rnacentral:rRNA from 1 species